AGACUGCGUUUGAAACUGUAUAUCUUGAGAGCAGCAGAGGAAGGCGGAAUUCCUGGUGUAGUGGUGAAAUACGUAGAUAUCAGGAAGAACACCAGUGGCGAAGGCGGUCUUCUGGGCCGCAUCUGACGCUCAUGUACGAAAGCUGGGGUAGCGAACGGGAUUAGAUACCCCNGGUAGUCCCACGCUGUAAACGAUGGACACUAGGUGUUGGCGGUUCGAAUCCGUCAGUGCCGGAGUUAACGCAUUAAGUGUCCCGCCUGGGGAAUACGGUCGCAAGACUGAAACUCAAAGGAAUUGACGGGGGCCCGCACAAGCGGUGGAGCAUGUGGUUUAAUUCGAUGCAACGCGAAGAACCUUACCGAGAAUUGACAUCCCGUGACUACCUGUGAGAGCAGG
rnacentral:rRNA from 1 species